CUGGUUGAUCCUGCCAGACCCGACUGCUAUCGGAUUGGGACUAAGCCAUGCGAGUCAACUCCGCAAGGGGUGGCGCACGGCUCAGUAACACGUAGUCAACCUACCCUGGGGACGGGGAUAACCUCGGGAAACUGAGGCUAAACCCCGAUGGGCCAUGGCUCCUGGAAUGGGCUAUGGCUGAAAUCUACAUGGCCCCAGGAUGGGACUGCGGCCGAUCAGGUUGUUGGUGGGGUAAUGGCCCACCAAGCCUAUAACCGGUGCGGGCUCUGAGAGGAGGAGCCCGGAGAUGGGCACUGAGACAAGGGCCCAGGUCCUAUGGGGCGCAGCAGGCGCGAAACCUCCGCAAUGGGCGAAAGCCCGACGGGGUCAGUCCGAGUGGUUCCCGCUGAGGGAACCUUUUGCCAGCUGUAAACAGGCUGGCGAAUAAGGGGUGGGCAAGUUUGGUGUCAGCCGCCGCGGUAAUACCAGCACCCCGAGUGGUCGGGACGAUUAUUGGGCCUAAAGCAUCCGUAGCCGGCCCAGUAAGUCCUCCGUUAAAUCCAACGGCUCAACCGUUGGGCUGCGGGGGAUACUGCUGGGCUAGGGGACGGGAGAGGCGAGGGGUAUUCCCGGGGUAGGGGUAAAAUCCACUGAUCCCGGGAGGACCACCAGUGGCGAAGGCGCCUCGCUAGAACGUGCCCGACGGUGAGGGAUGAAAGCUGGGGGAGCGAACCGGAUUAGAUACCCGGGUAGUCCCAGCCGUAAACGAUGUAGGCUCGGUGUUGGGCUGACUCAGUGGCAGCCCAGUGCCGCAGGGAAGCCGUUAAGCCUACCGCCUGGGGAGUACGGCCGCAAGGCUGAAACUUAAAGGAAUUGGCGGGGGAGCACCAC
rnacentral:rRNA from 1 species